rnacentral:rRNA from 1 species
UACGUAGGGUGCAAGCGUUUGUCCGGAAUUAUUGGGCGUAAAGAGCUCGUAGGCGGUUUGUCGCGUCUGCUGUGAAAACCCGAGGCUCAACCUCGGGCCUGCAGUGGGUACGGGCAGACUAGAGUGCGGUAGGGGAGAUUGGAAUUCCUGGUGUAGCGGUGAAAUGCGCAGAUAUCAGGAGGAACACCGAUGGCGAAGGCAGGUCUCUGGGCCAUAACUGACGCUGAGAAGCGAAAGCAUGGGGAGCGAACAGG